ACACCAUCUUGGAAAACCUCUAAGAGCAGGACUGAUGAUAUAACCUAGCUGGGUCAUGAAAUGUCUGCAAGAAAACCACUCAGCUAUGAGAGCACCAACAACCUUCACAGUUCUCCUCCUCACAAACCCCACUCCCUUGCAGCACUGAUGAUGUUACCUAGAUGGGUCAUGAAACAUCUGCAAGAAAACCACCAAGCUCAGAGAGCACCGAAGACCCCUCAUUUCGACCAUAUUCUUUUUUUGCUUCCAUUCUUUAGCAGAAAUAUGUGGUGCAAGACACCCCCACCCCCAAAAUCAGGCAACAUUAUCAGGCCUGACCAAAGCCACUAGAAUAAGCUAGACGCCACUUCGAUGGCAGUUCCUAAAGAAAGAACGAAGCCAGUGUCUACAGUCAAGGACAAGCAGUUUCUACCCUGAACCGGCCAAUGCUUGUUCCUCCUAAUAAGAUCCAGGAGGACCCGCAGUUUCCAGAAUGCCGGAAGAAUUUCACUCACUGGAAAAGCCACAUCUUCAGGAUGGAACUUCCGGUUAUGAUGAUUCCACGGGAGAAGCCAUGACAGUUAAAAAAGAUUUGAAAAACGAGGAAGUCUCGUCUUUUAUCUAUGGAGAUUCUCCGUCAUCCAGGUCACGUUUGUCCCAAAGGUGCUUUUUUUUCAAGAGGCAACUGGACUUUCUGGUUUUUUCUUUUGAAGACGUUUCGCUUCUCAUCCAAGAAGCUCCUUCGGCUCUCAUCUUUAUCCUUUCGGUGAUCACUUUUAUCGCCUAGGCCAGCCUUUCCCAACUUAACUUCUCAACUGAAAAUCGGUCACUUCAUGACUGUUCAGAGUUACAAGGGACCACCCCAGAGUUACUUUCGACUCAGUGUCAAGCAACAAAUCAUGCCAGGAGGAAAUGAUGAAAAAGUAUCACAAACCUAAGGAGAUUAUUGUAUGGAAUAGUAAGUUUUCAUCUUUAAAAUGCUCAAUUCUUAAAAUUUAUCAAGUCUUACCACAUCAACAUGCUUUACUUGUUUAUAUUCAUUUUCAUCUCUAUAGCCAGCUUGCUGAAAUCUGUAUAAAUUUUCAACUUCAUCCGACCAUGUUUUGGCCCGCUGCAUGAAUUUUGGCUUGCGAUCAAUACUGGCUGUUGCCCCGGAAACAUCACCGGCUAACUUGCUGAAUUAUUUUUUUUUUAAAUUGCAAUGAUAUGCAUAAAAAAGAGUAGAAGAAACAUCAUCAAAUUUUUUAUGAAAAGACAUUGCAACUAAAUGUAUGGACAUAAUUAACUAAAGCCAUAACUGUAUUAUGAACUGUUUUGAUACCACCCAAAAGACUUACCAAUUGUUUUUGACAAAAAGCAGCUGUACUUUUGAAAAACAGAGCUACUAUUGAAAAAAGGGAAUAAAUAAUAAUGGCUUUAGACUCA